GACGAACGCUGGCGGCGUGCUUAACACAUGCAAGUCGAACGGAAAGGCCCUGCUUUUGUUGGGUGCUCGAGUGGCGAACGGGUGAGUAACACGUGAGUAACCUGCCCUUGACUUUGGGAUAACUUCAGGAAACUGGGGCUAAUACCGGAUAGGAGCUCCUGCUGCAUGGUGGGGGUUGGAAAGUUUCGGCGGUUGGGGAUGGACUCGCGGCUUAUCCGCUUGUUGGUGGGGUAGUGGCUUACCAAGGCUUUGACGGGUAGCCGGCCUGAGAGGGUGACCGGCCACAUUGGGACUGAGAGACGGACCAGACUCCUACGGGAGGCAGCAGUGGGGAAUAUUGCACAAUGGGCGGAAGCCAGAGGCAGCAACGCCGCGUGCGGGAUGACGGCCUACGGGUUGUAAACCGCUGUCGACUGUGACGAAGCGUGAGUGACGGUAAUGGGUAAAGAAGCAACGGCUAACUACGUG
rnacentral:rRNA from 1 species